UACGUAGGCAGCAAGCGUUGUUCGGAGUUACUGGGCGUAAAGGGUGCGUAGGCGGCUUUUUAAGUUUGGUGUGAAAUCUCCCGGCUCAACUGGGAGGGUGCGCCGAAUACUGAGAAGCUAGAGUGUGGGAGAGGAAAGUGGAAUUCCUGGUGUAGCGGUGAAAUGCGUAGAUAUCAGGAGGAACACCGGUGGUGUAAACGGCUUUCUGGACCAUAACUGACGCUGAUGCACGAAAGCUAGGGGAGCAAACAGG
rnacentral:rRNA from 1 species